rnacentral:rRNA from 1 species
GACGAACGCUGGCGGCGUGCUUAACACAUGCAAGUCGAACGGAAAGGCCCUGCCUUUGUGGGGUGCUCGAGUGGCGAACGGGUGAGUAACACGUGAGUAACCUGCCCUUUACUUUGGGAUAACUUCAGGAAACUGGGGCUAAUACCGGAUAGGAGCUCCUGCUGCAUGGUGUGGGUUGGAAAGUUUCGGCGGUUGGGGAUGGACUCGCGGCUUAUCAGCUUGUUGGUGGGGUAGUGGCUUACCAAGGCUUUGACGGGUAGCCGGCCUGAGAGGGUGACCGGCCACAUUGGGACUGAGAUACGGCCCGGACUCCUACGGGAGGAAGAGGUGGGGAAUAGUGCAAAAUGGGCGGAGGCCGGAUGCAGCAACGCCGGGUGGGGGAUGACGGCCUUCGGGUUGUAAACCGCUUUAGCCUGGAACGAAGCGUGUGUGACGGUAAUGGGUAAAGAAGCACCGGCUAACUACGUG